UAACACAUGCAAGUCGAGGGGAAACGACAUCGAAAGCUUGCUUUUGAUGGGCGUCGACCGGCGCACGGGUGAGUAACGCGUAUCCAACCUGCCCACCACUUGGGAAUAACCUUGCGAAAGUAAGACUAAUACCCAAUGAUAUCUCUAGAAGGCAUCAGAAAGAGAUUAAAGAUUUAUCGGUGAUGGAUGGGGAUGCGUCUGAUUAGCUUGUUGGCGGGGUAACGGCCCACCAAGGCUACGAUCAGUAGGGGUUCUGAGAGGAAGGUCCCCCACAUUGUAACUGAGACACGGUCCAAACUCCUACGGGAGGCAGCAGUGAGGAAUAUUGGUCAAUGGACGAGAGUCUGAACCAGCCAAGUAGCGUGCAGGAUGACGGCCCUAUGGGUUGUAAACUGCUUUUAUAAGGGAAUAAAGUGAGUCUCGUGAGACUUUUUGCAUGUACCUUAUGAAUAAGGACCGGCUAAUUCCGUGCCAGCAGCCGCGGUAAUACGGAAGGUCCGGGCGUUAUCCGGAUUUAUUGGGUUUAAAGGGAGCGUAGGCCGGAGAUUAAGCGUGUUGUGAAAUGUAGAUGCUCAACAUCUGCACUGCAGCGCGAACUGGUUUCCUUGAGUACGCACAAAGUGGGCGGAAUUCGUGGUGUAGCGGUGAAAUGCUUAGAUAUCACGAAGAACUCCGAUUGCGAAGGCAGCUCACUGGAGCGCAACUGACGCUGAAGCUCGAAAGUGCGGGUAUCGAACAGGAUUAGAUACCCUGGUAGUCCGCACGGUAAACGAUGGAUGCCCGCUGUUGGUCUGAAUAGGUCAGCGGCC
rnacentral:rRNA from 1 species